UAUACCAAGCCCCAAGACAAGCAGUUGUGUCAUGUUUAGUGUUGGAGGUCAGCUUUGGUUCCUUCAAAACAAUCUUAGCAAGAGUGGUUAGUUGACAUGUUGAUCCACUUUAGUAUCUAUUGUACUAUCUGCAAUCAGUAAGUCUAGAAUGGUGCUAAAGAGUUGUUAGAUGUCUUAGCAAAAUCUAUAAGUUCAUAAUACCUUUCUUCACCCAAUAAUAACUUAAUUUUGAAAACAAUUUUAAUAAAACUAAUAAGUAAAUAAAUAUCAGUAAACCUCCCCCCAGACUUAAACUACACUGUCCUCAGUGUGAAUUUAGUC
rnacentral:lncRNA from 1 species